AGCGAACGCUGGCGGCAGGCCUAACACAUGCAAGUCGAACGGACCCUUCGGGGUUAGUGGCGGACGGGUGAGUAACACGUGGGAACGUGCCUUUAGGUUCGGAAUAGCUCCUGGAAACGGGUGGUAAUGCCGAAUGUGCCCUUCGGGGGAAAGAUUUAUCGCCUUUAGAGCGGCCCGCGGCUGAUUAGCUAGUUGGUGAGGUAAUGGCUCAACAAGGCGACGAUCAGUAGCUGGUCUGAGAGGAUGACCAGCCACAUUGGGACUGAGACACGGCCCAAACUCCUACGGGAGGCAGCAGUGGGGAAUCUUGCGCAAUGGGCGAAAGCCUGACGCAGCCAUGCCGCGUGAAUGAUGAAGGUCUUAGGAUUGUAAAAUUCUUUCACCGGGGACGAUAAUGACGGUACCCGGAGAAGAAGCCCCGGCUAACUUCGUGCCAGCCGCCGCCGUAAGAC
rnacentral:rRNA from 1 species